rnacentral:rRNA from 1 species
CGAACGAGUUGAGAGCUUGCUUUUUAAGUAGUGGCGAACGGGUGAGUAACGCGUGAGUACCUGCCCUAGAGUGGGGGACAACAGUUGGAAACGACUGCUAAUACCGCAUAAGGCCGCAUGACAAAAGAUUUAUCGCUUUAGGAUGGACUCGCGUCCAAUUAGCUAGUUGGUGAGGUAACGGCCCACCAAGGCGACGAUUGGUAGCCGGACUGGGAGGUUGAACGGCCACAUUGGGACUGAGACACGGCCCAGACUCCUACGGGAGGCAGCAGUGGGGGAUAUUGCACAAUGGGGGAAACCCUGAUGCAGCAACGCCGCGUGAAGGAAGAAGGUCUUCGGAUUGUAAACUUCUGUCCUCAGGGAAGAUAAUGACGGUACCUGAGGAGGAAGCUCCGGCUAACUACGUGCCAGCAGCCGCGGUAAUACGUAGGGAGCAAGCGUUGUCCGGAUUUACUGGGUGUAAAGGGUGCGUAGGCGGAUCUGCAAGUCAGUAGUGAAAUCCCAGGGCUUAACCCUGGAACUGCUAUUGAAACUGUGGGUCUUGAGUGAGGUAGAGGCAGGCGGAAUUCCCGGUGUAGCGGUGAAAUGCGUAGAGAUCGGGAGGAACACCAGUGGCGAAGGCGGCCUGCUGGGCCUUAACUGACGCUGAGGCACGAAAGCAUGGGUAGCAAACAGGAUUAGAUACCCUGGUAGUCCAUGCCGUANACGAUGAUUACUAG